rnacentral:rRNA from 1 species
UACGUAGGGUGCAAGCGUUAAUCGGAAUUACUGGGCGUAAAGCGUGCGCAGGCGGUUGUGCAAGACCGAUGUGAAAUCCCCGGGCUUAACCUGGGAAUGGCAUUGGUGACUGCACGGCUAGAGUGUGGCAGAGGGGGGUGGAAUUCCACGUGUAGCAGUGAAAUGCGUAGAGAUGUGGAGGAACACCGAUGGCGAAGGCAGCCCCCUGGGCUAACACUGACGCUCAGGCACGAAAGCGUGGGGAGCAAACAGG